UACGUAGGGGGCAAGCGUUGUCCGGAUUUAUUGGGCGUAAAGAGCGUGUAGGCGGCCAGACAGGUCCGUUGUGAAAACUCGAGGCUCAACCUCGAGACGCCGAUGGAAACCGUCUGGCUAGAGUCCGGAAGAGGAGAGUGGAAUUCCUGGUGUAGCGGUGAAAUGCGCAGAUAUCAGGAAGAACACCCGUGGCUAAGGCGGCUCUCUAGUAGCGGUACUGAG
rnacentral:rRNA from 1 species